rnacentral:rRNA from 1 species
GGAAGCAGGGGAUCGUAAGACCUUGUGCUUUUGGAGUGGCCGAUGCCUGAUUAGCUAGUUGGUAGGGUAAAGGCCUACCAAGGCGACGAUCAGUAGUUGGUCUGAGAGGACGACCAGCCACACUGGGACUGAGACACGGCCCAGACUCCUACGGGAGGCAGCAGUGGGGAAUUUUGGACAAUGGGCGAAAGCCUGAUCCAGCAAUGCCGCGUGAGUGAAGAAGGCCUUCGGGUUGUAAAGCUCUUUCAGUCGAGAAGAAAAGGUUGCGACGAAUAAUCGUAACUCAUGACGGUAUCGACAGAAGAAGCACCGGCUAACUACGUGCCAGCAGCCGCGGUAAUACGUAGGGUGCGAGCGUUAAUCGGAAUUACUGGGCGUAAAGGGUGCGCAGGCGGCUUUGUAAGUCAGAUGUGAAAUCCCCGGGCUUAACCUGGGAAUUGCGUUUGAAACUACAAAGCUAGA